CUCCUGAACAGGUAUGCGCUGUGCAGCACGCGAAACAAUGGUAAGCUUUAGAUUUUGUAUUAAUAUUGUUUCUUCUUUUAAGACCAGUGUUCUGUGGCUGCAGUGCAGAGUCUGCUGACGGUGUCAUGCGCGUGUAGGGUCGGACAGCCGAGGUUGUCGUGGCUGUGUUCUCUGGCUCAGUAAUCAGGUUUCUCCCCUCCAUGGCUGCGUAGGGCCUGUGUGACCUCCAUUUCUAAUAACUGCGUUUAUAUUAACAUUGGUGUGUGUUGAACAUAUUUUUGUGUAAGAAUAAAAUUGUAUUUAUAUUUUUCUA